UUCUAACUGACCCUCCGAUGUCACAUGGACUACUUUGAUGAUGUUUUUCUUACCUUUCUGGACAUGGACAGUAUACCGUACACACAGCUUCAAUGGAGGGACUGAGAGCUCUCGGACUAAAUCUAAAAUAUCUUAAACUGUGUUACAAAGAUAAACGGAGGUCUUACGGGUUUGGAACGACAUGAGGAUGAGUUAUUAAUGACAUAAUUUUGCUAUUUGGGUGAACUAACCCUUUAAGCUCUUGAUGAAUCUUACCUUUGGUCUGCAGCAGCAGCAACAGAAGGAUAAAGCAACAGUGACAGAGAAGAUGAGGAUGAGAGUAUCACAGGCCAUCAGGAGAAAACAGAUCACACCCUGAUCAAAUAAUAGACACACAGUGAUUAUGAACUAAAAUAUGAAUCAAUAACCGGUUGCCAGAUCUAAACAGUAUAGAGGAUGGGCUAUGACACAUUGUUGUAGACUAUCUCCAUCACAAUAUAUAAGGCAAGGCAAGUUUCAUCUAUGUCUGGUAACACAAGAAAUAGUUUGAAUCUAGACAUAUAUUUGUACAUGUGUGAGAUUCAAAGCAACCACUUACCCAACUGUAAUAAAAAUGAAAGCGUAGAGACACAGCAGCUGCUGCCGUAUUGAAACAGCUGAACAUUUGUGAGGAUUUGACCUAUGGUACAGAAGAUCUGUUUUAAGAUAAAACCCAUGAAGUUGCCCUCAAGCAAAAAUAUUACACGUUUUAUUAAAACUGACACUUACCAGACAUGGUUUACAUGUUCUUGCUGCCGAGACUGUCAAUACUCCAGUUAAAAUGAACUUCAGAACAGAAAUGGAACAGAAUUCAGUUUUUGUUCAUUGUAUAAUAUUAUUUUGGUAUUCAGAUGAUCGACUCACGCUGAUUGGUGACCAGAGAAGAGAAAAACGGACAUUCCAGAUUGUCAAACAGAGUCCCAAGCCAGUGGCUUGACCUUCAGGAAGCUGGAGACAUCAUACUGCCCUCGCUGGUGAACUGGCACGGUUGGCAUCUCAUCAGCGGGUUUUGGCAUCUUUGAAAAUAAAGAGAGUAUCUUGUC